rnacentral:rRNA from 1 species
CCGAUUGAAUGGCUCAGUGAGGCGUUCGGACUGGACCAGGGAGGUCGGCAACGACCACCCCGGACCGGAAAGUUCGUCAAACUUGGUCAUUUAGAGGAAGUAAAAGUCGUAACAAGGUCUCCGUAGGUGAACCUGCGGAGGGAUCAUU